rnacentral:lncRNA from 1 species
CAGGCCCUUGCCCAGGCUGCAUCCUCCGCCAUGUCCUCCCGUUGACCCACUGUGUAUCCUUCUAGACCAGGUCAAAGGCUACCUCCUCUGGGAAGCCUGCCCCAAAGUUCCAUGCCAGACCCAAUCCCUGCCUCUCUGUAGGAAGGAGACUACCAUGGCUCCCAAGAGGAGCACUGGCUGCCGAGUCAGAAGAGGUUGGCUGAGAAGCACGGCUCCAGGACAUCCCUGAUGUGUGGCUUGGGCAAGGCGACAGAUGAACACAGUCUCUGACCCCAGCAAUUAGCCUGGGCUUGGGACUAGCUCUGGCCAAAGGGCUCUGAGAGGAAGCGAUGUGAAUCGCUCCUAGACUAAAGCCAUUGACACCACCAGACUCGGCAGCGCCAUCUCUCUCCUGUGGCACGUGUGGAGGCUGAGCCUGAAAAUGGUAACCUGGACCCAGGCUGCUCCAGGGAAGACAUUUCCCUGGAGAGUUACUCAAGUCCCCAGCAAACUUUGCAGGAGCCAUAAAAGCAAGAAAUAAAGCAUCUGUUGGGUUUAGCCAGUGAGAGAGUUCCUUUGUUGCUGCAGCAGAACUUAGGCUAUCCUGACUAAUUCAGCUAGUAAAAGAAGCAGCAG